rnacentral:rRNA from 1 species
UACGGAGGGUGCAAGCGUUAUCCGGAUUCACUGGGUUUAAAGGGUGCGUAGGCGGCUUGGUAAGUCAGUGGUGAAAGCCCGGAGCUCAACUCCGGAACUGCCAUUGAUACUGCUUAGCUUGAAUCAGGUCGAGGUGGAUGGAAUAUUACAUGUAGCGGUGAAAUGCUUAGAUAUGUAAUAGAACACCGAUUGCGAAGGCAGUUCACUAGGCCUGUAUUGACACUGAGGCACGAAAGCGUGGGGAUCAAACAGG